rnacentral:misc_RNA from 1 species
GUGAAUUAAUAUGAUCAAGAUGUGAAGAGGAAUGGAUUUUGAGAUCUUCCCAAAAUCAUUAAUGGAUAUCUUGUGACACCUGCCUUUAAGGAUUAGUGCAUAAUAAUAUGGCCCUUGAAAGUGCAUCUCAUACAUGAUACAUUUAUAAGAGUUUGUGGAGCUUGCUUCUCUGUUCUAGAUAUAUUAUAGUCGUCUAGGGAUUCAUAUUAAUUUGUGGUCAUUCUUUGAUUUAUAAAACCUUAAAAGGUUUCGGCAUUGAUGACUAUCUUAACAUCUAUUCAACUGAUUCGAUGCUAUAUCAUGAAACUUAUGCCAUUAUGUCUCUUACUCAAAAAAAUUUUGCAAAUUGGAUGGAAAUGAUUCUCAUUUCUUGGUUUAAUGGGUCGGGUUUUUGUAAGUGCCGGAUUCGAUCGGACUCUUUUACUAGAACGGGUUUGGGUAGUAUAUAAUUGGACUUUGAAAGGUCGGGUUCAAAUU